AUACAACAUUGUGUUUAGACAGUUCUCUAAUAUAACUGACAGUGCUCUCUUUGUGUUACUGCAAAUCAGCUGUGUGUGACGUGCAAUUAAUUUACCAAAAUAGCUUUUCGUAGUUAAUUUUCCAUUUUAAAUUCAUAUAUUUAAAAGAUGACUACGCUGCGACCAUUCACUUGUGAUGACCUAUUCAAAUUCAAUAACGUCAAUUUUGACCCACUGACUGAGACGUAUGGGCUUUCGUUUUACACGCAGUAUUUGGCAAGAUGGCCAGAGUACUUUCAAGUGGCCGAAUCACCGAGUGGUCAAAUAAUGGGCUACAUUAUGGGUAAGGCAGAAGGCCACAUGGAAAAUUGGCAUGGCCAUGUUACCGCGUUGACCGUUUCUCCUGAUUAUAGACGUUUAGGUUUGGCAGCAUUGCUGAUGAAUUUCCUAGAGGAUAUUUCGGAGAAAAAACGUGCGUAUUUCGUUGAUCUAUUCGUACGCAAAAGCAAUAAGGUAGCCAUCAAUAUGUAUCAAAAUCUAGGCUAUAUAAUUUAUCGCACUAUACUUGAUUACUACGCUGGCGAACACGACGAAGAUGCCUAUGACAUGCGAAAGGCCUUAUCUAGAGACAUGGAAAAGAAAUCUAUUAUACCCUAUACACAUCCGGAAUGUAACUAAUUCUUAAGAAAAAACUGUUUCUACAUGUAAAGUUAGUACACCGAUAAAACCAAAAACAUGAGCUCCGCUGUUUUGUUUACUACUUCCCAGAGUAAAUAAUACACCACACCACAACACAUUAAUCAAAUGAUGAGAUAACAACACAUCAACUACAUCUAGCGAAUGCAAAUCAAACACCCACGAUUAUGGACUAGCUUUACUUGUGGACUUGAUAUACAUAUGUAUUCCAAAGAAGAAAUUUUAAUAUAUUCUUGCAAUAAAAAUGUUGGUCUCCGGUAUAAUGCUUUGCAGGUCUCUAAGUUUAAAAACGGCACAUAUUCAUAGUCCAACUCCAUAUAAAUAAUAAAUUAUUUUGUACAUUUUA